CAUUCAUGAAUAGGGUGAGACGGGCUAGAACAAAGAGCACAAACUUGUGCUUGGGGAAAGUUUGGAAGCUGUUCUCUAGACAUUAGCUGGUCCAACUUGCGGGAUAGUGCAUCUACUUUGUCAGAUAGACCUAUGGACUGGCUAACUUCAUAUAUGGUUCCUUUUCUUUGAGAACUCGGGGGUGCUUGACGAGCAGAGGAGGCAUGGUGGAG
rnacentral:lncRNA from 1 species